AGCCAGGAAGAGAGCACAAAACUGCCCUUAAGUCAUUGCAGACCCGGAGCUCCGGUGAGCCUGCCACGAGGUUCUCGCGAGAUCCGCCGCCUCCAUCCCAAGCGCCUGUGUCUGGCAGAGCCGGUGUGAGAAGAAGAGAGAAUCCUUCCCCGCCGCCGGGAUAAUCAAGAGUUUUGGCCGGACCUUUGAGUACACAUCGGGAUAGUGAGAAGCCCGGCGAAAAGCACAGACUAUGGCGCUGAAACGGAUUAAUAAGGAACUUAGUGAUUUGGCCCGUGACCCUCCAGCACAAUGUUCUGCAGGUCCAGUUGGAGAUGACAUGUUUCAUUGGCAAGCCACAAUUAUGGGACCUAAUGACAGCCCAUAUCAAGGUGGUGUAUUCUUUUUGACAAUUCAUUUUCCUACAGACUACCCCUUCAAACCACCUAAGGUUGCAUUUACAACAAGAAUUUAUCAUCCAAAUAUUAACAGUAAUGGCAGCAUUUGUCUUGAUAUUCUAAGAUCACAGUGGUCUCCUGCUUUAACUAUUUCUAAAGUUCUUUUAUCCAUUUGUUCACUGCUAUGUGAUCCAAACCCAGAUGACCCCCUAGUGCCAGAGAUUGCACGGAUCUAUAAAACAGACAGAGACAAGUACAACAGAAUAUCUCGGGAAUGGACUCAGAAGUAUGCCAUGUGAUGCUACCUUAAAGUCAGAAUAACCUGCAUUAUAGCUGGAAUAAACUUUAAAUUACUGUUCCUUUUUUGAUUUUCUUAUCCGGCUGCUCCCCUAUCAGACCUCAUCUUUUUUAAUUUUAUUUUUUGUUUCCCUCCCUCCAUUCAUUCACAUGCUCAUCUGAGAAGACCUAAGUUCUUCCAGCUUUGGACAAUAACUGCUUUUAGAAACUGUAAAGUAGUUACAAGAGAACAGUUGCCCAAGAUUCAGAAAUUUUUUUAAAACUGGAGCAUGUGUAUUAUGUGGCCAAUGUCUUCACUCUAACUUGGUUAUGAGACUAAACCAAUCCUCACUGCUCUAACAUGCUGAAGAAGCCAUCUGAGGGGGAGGGGGAUGGAUGCUGAGCUGUCACAUCAAAGGAAACAGCAUUAUUCCAGCAGCAUCCAUUCUUGUCUAAACCUUCCACUGUUAGAGAUUUGAGGU
rnacentral:lncRNA from 1 species